rnacentral:lncRNA from 1 species
CAGUGCCCAAUCAGGACACGUUUCGCGGACAAUGCUCCACCGACCUAAUACUUCAAGGAAAACCACACGAUCAAUGUCGGUUUGAUCCGACGGCCUAGAUUCACUUGAAGGGACUAUAAAACCAGACCCCCUGGCCCCUGGAGAUCAUACCUCUUCUACAGAAUCAAAGUUAGGGUUUCAAUUCUUCAUCCAAGUAGAGAGGAUCCCUCUAGUUCUUCUAGUUCUACCUCUAGUUCAUCUAGAUCUAGUUCUAGUUCAUCUAGUUCUAGUUCUAGUUCCUCUAGUUCUAGUUCUAGUUAGUUCUAGUUGUAAUCUAGAAAAUAGGGAGAGAGAAGAGGAGAGCGGAGGAGGAGCCAGAUCUGUCGGAUCUUCCUCAACAUUAUACUUUUGCAGCAUCUGGUUCAUUCUUCAUCGUUCUCCAGGUUCUUCAACUCAUAACUCCUGAGUUCUCGAAUUACUUUUAUUUACAUUCAAGUUAUUUAUUGGAUUCCCGCUUGCAUCAAGUGCUCUAGUCAUUGAAACAUUAGAGUAGUAAUUAAUAGAUUAAACGUGGUGUUUAGUCUUGCGAUUACCUGGAAUUGCACCCAAUCCUGCGGAUUGUUGUGGUAGCCUUAGGGUAGUGACAGCCCUAACGGUCGACGUAUUCCACCUCGUUCGGAUCGGUGUUUGUAGGACCGUAGUCGGAGCUUCCUAGCCCCCUUCUCAUCUCUUUCUGUGGUUAGUGUUCUGAUGUCCCGAAAUAGAUAAUCUUGAAGUAAUUCUUGAUUCUUAGAUCAUCUAGAGAACUCUCAGGAAACUUCCUCUCUUCCCACCAAAAAUAAUUAUAUAGUUAUCCUUGGGCGAUCUUGGAUCUUAAUUAGUACACUCACGUUCUCUGUGGAAAAUCGAUACUCUGGAAUACUCCCGGGUGAAAGCUACAUCGGUAUCCGUGCGCUUGCGGAUUUUUCUGUUUGCGUUUAAAAUACCCAACAAGCUUUCUGGCGCCGUUGCCGGGGAACGGUAGCUGUGCUAGUUUUGAACUAAGUCGUCCGUGUAUCCUUUUUCUUUUCCUUUUUUACCACACUCACCUUAUCACUUUCACCAUACCACAUGGAUUUCACUCUAAGCAUUAAUGAGCAUGGAAUUUGUUUCAUAGCCACUUCAUUUGCUCCAUGCUCAUAAGCAACAUCUUCACAAUCCAUUGGUCUCUCCAACAUCACCACAUUCGAGAUCUCCAACCCCCACUUCCUUUCUAUUUAUAAAAACUUUAAAAGGGCGGUUGUCGAUGCAUAUGUCUAUAAUAAAUUUUGCAGAUCUCGUUGAGUUGAUCUUGAUAUAGGUCAGCGUUGGAGGGGAAACCACUUCGCUGACAUAAAUUGAUGGUUUCCCAAGGACAAGCUUAGUGUCCUCAAACAAGCACUGAUCAGAUUGUAACAUGAGCUUUUAAUUAUUUGCAACAUUAACUUGUGUAUUGAGCAUAUAAGGAUAAUUGUAAAAAAAUUCCUUCGGGUAUUCUUGUCACUAACCUUUCCAGGAUUGGAGCAAGAAGAUCGGAUGAAUGACAAGCACAAGGUAUGUCCAACCAAUCAUCAUACAACAUUGAAUUAAAUUCAUCCAAACUUGAAUUUUGCAAAAUUCAAGCUUGGGGGAGUACUUUAUACAAAAACAUCAUUUGCCAUGUUGCUAUGUUGGUUAUCCCUACCCUGAGACAUGCUCAAUUUGUUAAAUAGUAAUCACACUACUUCAUCUCCACUUGAGUAAAUCUCUAUAAAAGCCAUCACGCUACCUUUGUUUAUCCUAGUAAGUGUUAGUUUGGAAGUACUGUACAUACUUCUAUUGGUUUUUAAAUUAAGCAUGGUGCUUAGGUUAAACAGCCUUCCUUAAUCUAAUUAGACAUGGAGUCUAGUUUGGUUAUUGAACUAAAAACCGCUUGUGUAGACAUUGGUAUAUUUUGUUGGACUAACCCCUGCAGGAAAACAUUCAAUAUCGACCUGGGAAGUCCUGAGACAAACUCACAUUGGAGACAAAGAGAGAGACACAUGAAGUUUAACAAUCUACACAAGGAAGGCAUAGCUCACAAGAGAUGAUCCAUGGACGGUGCCACAAACACGAUGCACAACCACUAAGAAAGGAAAGCUUCCACAAGGUAAUACUGUACCAUCACUCUUCAAGUAAGGUAACAUCUUAAGGUACUUGACUAUCACUUCUAUAAGCUUUUUCUUGGUUCUGGCAUUCACAUGAAUAAAAGAGACAAACAUCUAUGAUCUACAACUCUAGAUUAACCAACCCAAUCGAUUCAACAUGUUUAGUCCUUCCACCUUUGUGAUUCCACACUCCUAAUCAUAUAAGCUAAAAUGUUGCACACUCAAUCUUUGGAAGAUAUAAACAAAACAUAUAGAUAGAUUAUCUUUCCAUAAGGUUGAGCAAUCUAAUCUGACAAAUGUUAAAUGCUACACUCAUGAUCUUAUUAUCCAUCAACUUUGUCUUGCUCACUAUGCUUAAGGUUAGAGAGAACAAAUACACUUUUGGUUCUGUUGGUGUUUUCCACCAACAGAGCCCAUGCACUUGAUCUCUGCCUUGUCUCUAUGAGCAGGUACACUUCGAGCAAAAUAUGAAGGACUUUUAUAACUCCCAGACUCCACCAAGUGAAGAACCUAGAUCUACGAGCACAAACACACUAGAGAUACUGGACACUCAGGCAAUCACUGCCCUGAGAUGCUUGAGGAUGUAACUACUGGAGUAACCCUGUUGUGGAAGUAAUUACUGACCUUCUGUCGGUUAAGAGAUACAAUCCAGGACGUCCCGUCAUCCCGAUCUCCAUUGGCAUGGUGGACUUCCCAGAAGCACUCUGCGACUUUGGCUCCAGCGUCAACAUUAUGCCCAGGGUACUCUAAGAAAAAUUCUUUACACAUCCUUUAUCAGAAACAACCAUGGGUUUGCAGCUUGCAGACUGUACACUAAGUUUCCCAAAAGGAAUAUUGAAGAACCUCUGUAUACGAGUUGGUACCUUGUACGCCCCAGCAGACUUCGUGGUGAUAGAGACUGGUACUGAUGAGAGGGCACCCAUCAUCCUAGGGAGGCCAUUCCUGAACACAUCGGGAGCUGUCAUCUACGCUAGUGCUGCCAAGAUUAGUUUCUACAUCAAAGGGAGAAAUGAGACGUUUUCCUUCAAGAACAAGACUACACAAAUCCCAGAGCAAUCUCGACAUGAACCAAGGAAGAGGACCAACAGGAGGAACAAGAACAAGCAAAUGUGUACCGAGUCAGCUAAGAUGGUCACUGCAGCUCAAGGAGAUCAAGAUCGUCAACUCAAGUCACCUUUCUUAAUCAAGAAGGACGACCCUGGUAUUCCAAGCAUCGAGUGCACAAUCAACGGAUAUUCUUUUCAGAAGACACUCUACGACACCGGAUCUAACGUCAACAUAAUGGCCGCAGUCACUUAUCAGCUCUUGCAUGGAACCAUGUCCCUACAACCAACAUACAUUCAGCUCCAGAUGAUUUUAAGGUUAUGGACAUGGGCGAAGACAAGUAUAAUCCACCCAUCAUCCUUGGAAGACCGUUCCUCAGCACUGUUAAAGCAAUCAUUUACAUUGGAACCGGAGAAGUCCACAUGCACUUCCCCUCUGAGAAGGUACGCCGCUAUUGUACUGACCCUAACUAUAUAGUUGAAGACUCUAAGUAGGUCAGGACAAGAAGGAGACGACGCAACCGCAACCAGAGAAGGUAAAAUCAUCAAGGACGGAUGGGUAGACUAUGAAGGAGAAGUUGUAAGGUCUAAAGACAUACAACUUGAACGGAACUGUCCUGAGGAGACCGUAGCACCGAGUCAUGUGUGGAGAGAGAAGAUAGUUAUACACGAAGAGCAGGCACCGCCAGAACCACCGACUACGCUAUCCAGCGAAUUCCAGGAUGAUUGAGAAAACGGAGAGUCCCGUUCGGAGGACGUAAAAACACCGAACGCCUUGCCAAGAGGUAAACUUGGUAGUUAUCUUUUUCCUUUCAAUUAUUUUAGUUAAUCAGGUUCAUAUCAUCUUGAAAAGAAAAUAAAAAUGUUAAGUAAGCCCCAUGUGAGUAUGCUCAUGGCAUAAAACCCAUAAGUACAUUCACUGUGGUGGCAUAAAAAUAAAAUAAAUAUAUUCCUGUCCUAUAAAAAUAAAAUUAUAAAAAUAGAUUUAUGAUCCUACCAAAGAGAGUAACAUUUAUUGAGGAGGCUCAACAUGAUAAAGGCUAGAUAUUUAUACUAACACUUAACCAGUUCCACAAAGCUUUGUUGUCUAUUUGAGCUCCACAGAAUUCAAGGAUCAAAGAAGACUAGCAGACGGAGGACAUCCUAAUCGCUGUCAGAGUGCUACCGACAUUCAAAUACACCUCCGCCACCUACUAGCUACAUCAAAAGGAAUUAUGUCAAAAUCCAGCUUGGGGGAGAGCACCCCCAUUUAUCCAGCUAAGUAUUCUACUCACGUUUAUAUUUUACUCAAAUAAUAAAAAGAUGCAUAUUCAUAAAAACCCAAAUAAAGAUUUUAUGCUUAUAUAUAUCUUUGCUUAGUUUGAUAAAUAAAUAAAUAAAUAGAGUUUGCUAUGAACCCUCAUGAUAAGCUUUCACAUGGAAAUGAUGAAUAGUUGCUCUGCCAUGACUAGUUCUAAAAAUUGAAAUCUCUCUUAAGUUUAGGCAUGACUGUUAUUAAUUAAGAUUUGCUCUAAACCUGAACUUGUGGGGAGAGUACUUGAUCUAAAGUCUAAGUCGUUAACGGAUACGAUAUGGGAAGGUUGAGCUGCUGUUUAUCUGUUCCUAGAGAUGCUAGAAUUCUGGAGAAUUUUAUCUUUGAAAAUCUUUAAAAUGUUGCAUGAUGAGUUUCUGUAUGAUGAGAGUUUAAAUUCCUACCACAGCCAUAUAUACAUGCUUGUUAGACUAUGAACCACACAUUUACUUUUUACUGCUUAUGAGCAUUGAGUGUGGUCAAGCUGUGUAGACCCUUAGGAGCUUGUCAUGUGGUUAAAUCAAGAUUCACUUGCACGUUCACUCACACAUGCUACUUCUACUCCAGAAGUACCAUCCACAUAUAUCUAUCCAUUUCCAUCUCCAGAGCCACCUAAAAAUAUUCUACUCCUAAUCCGGGAGAGAAUAGCCAAAAACAUUUAUGUUUUUCCCCUGUGAAAUAAAUGCUCAAGUUAUCUUGGUUACUACCACUUGCUAUAUUAUUUCAGGAGAUGAGUGCUCUAAUAUAAAAAAAAGAGAGAAAAAAAUAAUAAAUACGAGGAAAUAAAAAGGGGCAAGUGCCCGGAACCUCGAAAGAAAAGAAAAAAAAAAGUGAGACGAGAGGUAAAAAUGGACAAGUGUCCGACAGUAGAAUUAGGGGUAUAAGAUACCCACCUGAGAGAAAAGAAAAAGAAAAUAUAGAGCAUCUCAUUCUCCUCAAAAAGUUUCAAAAGAGCAAGAAAGGUAUGUAUCCCCUCAAAAGAGCAUAAGUAGAAUUAGGCUUUCACCAUUGUUAUCACCAUCAUCACCAUACACCAUUCAUUCGCCACACAUGCACAUCUUGAUUUGACUUAUUGACUUGAUCUUCUGGAUCCAUGGUUUGACUAUGCAAUAAAUGUCUUGUAAGUAUGUAUUAGCUGUCUCCCACCUAUGAGCUCCAGAUAUCAAAAGCCUUAUUAGAGUAGGGUGAGAGAGAAGGCAAUGUCACUAUGCCUCAUACCAAAAAUACUACAUACUUUGAGAGAAGGCAUACCACAAAAGAGAGACUAGAGAGAGUCAUACAAGGAAUCUCUGAGUUUUAUUUAAAAAUCUGCAAAAACUCCAGAGCUAUAGUUAAUCGAAGAACAAGAGACAUGGCGCUUGACUAGACCGUUCUAUCUUUUAACUGCUCAAGACAGAAGUGACGGUUACAAGUCCCAUGGUGGAAGGUAAAAUGAGUAAGUUUAAAUCUUAACAGUUUACCCUAACCCAGAGAUGAGAUCUUGUUUGAACGCAUGUGUAUCUUUAAGGCAUGAAACCACUGCAGAAACUCUUGAGUCCAUCUUUGCUCAGGGACGAGCAAAGGUUAAGCUUGGGGGAGCUUGUUGACGGUCCUUAAUGCUCACAUUUAACCAUCAACUAAUCAUAGAAAAGGAUCCAAAUGCAACCAACACCUAGACUUAGGGUUUUAUCUGACAGAAUUCCACGAGUUUUGGUGUUUGUCUAUUUCUGCAGGGGGUUAUCAGGAAAUAAGGAAGAAAGGCCCACACGUCGGGUUUACAUAGAGAUAUUAACAUGCCGCACAAUUUUCUAUCAUCUAGAAGAUUCCAGAAGCCACGGGACCGAACGGGAAGGCAAUCGGGCUCGGAGGCAGGGCGCCUGCCCAACUCUCCUGGGCGCCCGCCCAGCUACAGUGCCCAAUCAGGACACGUUUCGCGGACAAUGCUCCACCGACCUAAUACUUCAAGGAAAACCACACGAUCAAUGUCGGUUUGAUCCGACGGCCCAGAUUUACUUGAAGGGACUAUAAAACCAGACCCCCUGGCCCCUGGAGAUCAUACCUCUUCUACAGAAUCAAAGUUAGGGUUUCAAUUCUUCAUCCAAGUAGAGAGGAUCCCUCUAGUUCUUCUAGUUCUACCUCUAGUUCAUCUAGAUCUAGUUCUAGUUCAUCUAGUUCUAGUUCUAGUUCCUCUAGUUCUAGUUCUAGUUAGUUCUAGUUGUAAUCUAGAAAAUAGGGAGAGAGAAGAG